rnacentral:tRNA from 1 species
GCCAUUUUGGCUCAGUGGAUAGAGCAUCAGUCCGUGGACUGAAGGUCCUGGGUUUGAUUCCAAUCAUGGCA